GGUUCUAUGGUGUAGUGGUUAUCACAUCUGCUUUACACGCAGAAGGUCCUGGGUUCAAAACCCAGUGAAACCA